GACACACACACAAAUCACAGGGAAAGAAGUGAGCUGUUACUCCUGUCCACACCCUCUUGCAUUUCAGGGGACCUGCUGAAUACAACAUACAGAACACCCUGAACUGUCCUCUUCAUCCCUCCUACUGAAAAAUUGCCAAGAGUGUGAUGACUUGGUAAGCUCCUGGAGAAGACUUUUAUGGUGAGCAGGACUGUCCCUAAAGCUAAAGGAAGCUAGGAGAGCUUGGCUCUCCAUCUGCUGCUAUAAAGAAGAGAACUUUCAUCCUUGUCCUUGGCUGGACUGCAGAACAGGAUUGCACCAUCCCUUCUGAUGGUUCAUGAACUCUGUGGACCAGCAACUGAGUUUGUACAUUUGUUCUGCAAGAGCACACCUUCUCAUCCUGACUGUGGUAGCCUGGUGCUAUAGUGCCUGUUGCACAGUGCAUUUCUGCCGGCCUGAAGAUUGUACACUACCCCUAGGUAAAGGGGCUGAAGAGAAAACCAUAAGAUCCAAGGAAUCAUGUGAAUGGACAUUUAACCUCAGGGAUUAAUACAGUCAUUUGGUACAAGUCUCUCUUUAGUUCUUUCAUUUAUACUGCAUUAAGAGUGUAAUGAAAUUUGAAAUAGUACCUCUGUAUUUUUGACAGGCACAAUAAGCCAUGGAUCACUUCUGAAAACCUAAUAUGCCUGGGAAAAUAAAUGGCGUAAACUGUAAACAAAA